UCGGUCUCAUAAUAAAUAAUAAAUGAAAAAGGAGUCUUAGAAGCAUCACUACAUACCAUAAGUAAACGUAGUUUAUCUUUUCUUUUCAUUUUUAACUAAGUUUGGACCAGGUGUCUGUUUUAUUAAUUUCUUUGGGCACUAAGUGACCCUUCAACAAACAACAAAAGAAAACAAAAUAUACCAAGGUUUGACCAAAAGUGACAGACCUCAGGUGAUAAAGAAAAAACAUUUUGUUUCCAAGCUAUUGCUUCCGUCUCCUUCAUCUAUGUUUCGAAGAAGGACGUAGCCAUGUGUUCUCCGUGUAAGUGUUCUAUAUCCCUUCUUCUUCUUCUUCCCGCUGUCAUCCUUCUUACUUUUCCCAUUUUCCAGUUGAAGUUGGGAACGAAAUUGCCCCUUCUUUCAGAUCUUCUAGCAGGAUACAAGUGCAUCAGUUUGAAAUUGGUUCCAUGUCUCUCGAUUUUUGUUGGUGUUAUCAUGUUUUGUUGGCUGACAUAACUUAAGGUAGUUAGUUUCCGCUCAACUAUUUUGCCUUAACCACAAACUUUUGUAAAUGUAAUUGACGUGUGAAUCUGUGGUCUGUUGUCUGCUUUUCAUGCUACUGACUGCUUGUGUGACUGAUUCUCCUAGUUCUUAUUCUAAUGGUAUUUGAUGCUUAUCCAUGUUUAGAAUUCUUCUUGCUUUGCUUGGUAUUUGACUGAAACUUAGAUACUGUAGCUUCCCUUCCUGAUUUAUAGUUUCAUUUAUGAUAAAAUCAGCUAAUUGGUUAGCUUCUCUAAACACAUGGUCCAUGUGAAUACUUAAUGAAUCCAUUAUCC
rnacentral:lncRNA from 1 species